rnacentral:rRNA from 1 species
UAGUCCACGCUGUAAACGAUGAGAACUAGCCGUUGGAACUGUUAUGGUUUUAGUGGCGCAGCAAACGCGUUAAGUUCUCCGCCUGGGGAGUACGGUCGCAAGAUUAAAACUCAAAUGAAUUGACGGGGGCCCGCACAAGCGGUGGAGCAUGUGGUUUAAUUCGAUGCAACGCGAAGAACCUUACCUACUCUUGACAUCCAUAGAACUUUCCAGAGAUGGAUUGGUGCCUUCGGGAACUAUGAGACAGGUGCUGCAUGGCUGUCGUCAGCUCGUGUUGUGAAAUGUUGGAUUAAGUCCCGUAACGAGCGCAACCCUUAUCCUUAAUUGCCAUCAUUUAGUUGGGCACUUUAAGGAGACUGCCGGUGAUAAACCGGAGGAAGGUGGGGACGACGUCAAGUCAUCAUGGCCCUUACGAGUAGGGCUACACACGUGCUACAAUGGUGAGUACAGAGGGAGGCGAAGCAGUGAUGUGGAGCGAAUCCCAGAAAGCUCAUCGUAGUCCGGAUUG